AGAAAGAACUGCAAGCUAUUUCGCAGACGUAAGCAAAGGAACAAGAAAGAUCUGGAAAGGUCUACCGUAGAAGGUGAAAGUCCUGUAUUGGUAGUUUUCUUGCGCUGUAUCUCUUCUCCCAAGUAAUGUGGAACACGAGGAAUUCUGCAUGAAUCUGCGAGGACCAAAUCUCGUAAGGCUAAAUACUCUUUCUAACCGAUAGCGCAUAGUACCGUGAGGGAAAGGUGAAAAGAACCCCGGGAGGGGAGUGAAAGAGAACCUGAAAUUGUGUGCUUACAAGCGGUCAGAGCCACUUCGGUGGUGAUGGCGUGCCUUUUGGAGAAUGAUCCUGCGAGUUACGUUUCAUGGCGAGGUUAAGAAGAACGGAGCCGAAGGGAAACCGAGUCUGAAUAGGGCGCAAGAGUCGUGGAGCGUAGACGCGAAACCCGGUGAUCUAAGCCUGUCCAGGAUGAAGCUGUGGUAAGACACAGUGGAGGUCCUAACCCACCGCCGUUGAAAAGUUGGGGGAUGAGGUAGGUUUAGGGGUGAAAAGCCAAUCGAACCGGGAGAUAGCUCGUUCUCUCCGAAAUGCAUCUAGGUGCAGCCUUGCGUGUUUAAUGAUGGGGGUAGAGCACUGACUGAACUAGGGGGCAUAUAGCUUACUGAAUUCAAUCAAACUCCGAAUACCAUUAUUCAAGAGCGCAGGAGUGAGACCAUGGGAGUUAACUUCCAUCGUCGAAAGGGAAACAACCCAGACCACCGGCUAAGGUCCCAAAUCAUAUCUAAGUGGGAAAGGAGGUGGAGAUUCUUAAACAACUAGGAGGUUGGCUUAGAAGCAGCCAUUCCUUGAAAGAGUGCGUAAUAGCUCACUAGUCGAGAGUCUCUGCGCCGACAAUGUAACGGGGCUAAGAUAUGAACCGAAGCUGUGGAUGUCGUAAGACAUGGUAGGAGAGCGUUCUGUAGGCCGU
rnacentral:rRNA from 1 species